rnacentral:rRNA from 1 species
CCUACGGGUGGCAGCAGUGGGGAAUAUUGCACAAUGGGGGGAACCCUGAUGCAGCAACGCCGCGUGGGUGAAGAAGUAUUUCGGUGUGUAAAGCCCUGUCAGCAGGGAAGAAAAUGACAGUACCUGACCAAGAAGCCCCGGCUAACUACGUGCCAGCAGCCGCGGUAAUACGUAGGGGGCAAGCGUUAUCCGGAUUUACUGGGUGUAAAGGGAGCGUAGGCGGUAUUGCAAGUCUGAUGUGAAAGCCCGGGGCCCAACCCCGGGACUGCUUUUGAAACUGCGAGACUGGAGUGCCGGAGGGGUAAGUGGAAUUCCUGGUGUAGCGGUGAAAUGCGUAGAUAUCAGGAGGAACACCAGUGGCGAAGGCGGCUUACUGGACGGUAACUGACGUUGAGGCUCGAAAGCGUGGGGAGCAAACAGGAUUAGAUACCCGAGUAGUC